rnacentral:rRNA from 1 species
AACGAACGCUGGCGGCAUGCCUAACACAUGCAAGUCGAACGAUGCUUUCGGGCUUAGUGGCGCACGGGUGCGUAACGCGUGGGAAUCUGCCCUUGGGUUCGGAAUAACAGUGAGAAAUUGCUGCUAAUACCGGAUGAUGUCUUCGGACCAAAGAUUUGUCGCCCAGGGAUGAGCCCGCGUAGGAUUAGCUAGUUGGUGGGGUAAUGGCCUACCAAGGCGACGAUCCUUAGCUGGUCUGAGAGGAUGAUCAGCCACACUGGGACUGAGACACGGCCCAGACUCCUACGGGAGGCAGCAGUGGGGAAUAUUGGACAAUGGGCGCAAGCCUGAUCCAGCAAUGCCGCGUGAGUGAUGAAGGCCUUAGGGUUGUAAAGCUCUUUUACCCGGGAUGAUAAUGACAGUACCGGGAGAAUAAGCUCCGGCUAACUCCGUG